rnacentral:rRNA from 1 species
UCCGUAGGGUGACCUGCGGAUGGAUCAUUA